rnacentral:rRNA from 1 species
GACGAACGCUGGCGGCGUGCUUAACACAUGCAAGUCGAGCGGUAAGGCCCUUUCGGGGGUACACGAGCGGCGAACGGGUGAGUAACACGUGGGUGACCUGCCCUCAGCUCUGGGAUAAGCCUGGGAAACCGGGUCUAAUACUGGAUAUGACUCCAUGACGCAUGUUGUGGGGUGGAAAGCCUUGUGCGGCUGAGGAUGGGCCCGCGGCCUAUCAGCUUGUUGGUGGGGUGANGGCCUACCAAGGCGACGACGGGUAGCCGGCCUGAGAGGGCGACCGGCCACACUGGGACUGAGACACGGCCCAGACUCCUACGGGAGGCAGCAGUGGGGAAUCUUGCGCAAUGAGCGAAAGCCUGACGCAGCGACGCCGCGUGAGGGAUGACGGCCU